CCUACGGGUGGCAGCAGUGAGGAAUAUUGGUCAAUGGACGAAAGUCUGAACCAGCCAUGCCGCGUGCAGGAAGACGGCUCUAUGAGUUGUAAACUGCUUUUGUACGAGGGUAAACGCAGAUACGCGUAUCUGUCUGAAAGUAUCGUACGAAUAAGGAGCGGCUAACUCCGUGCCAGCAGCCGCGGUAAUACGGAGGAUUCAAGCGUUAUCCGGAUUUAUUGGGAUGAAAGGGUGCGGAGGCGGUCGUAUAAGUUAGAGGUGAAAUCCCGGGGCUCAACUUCGGAAUUGCCUCGGAUACUGUGCGGCUAGAGAGUAGUUGGGGUAGGCGGAAUGUAUGGUGUAGCGGUGAAAUGCUUAGAGAUCAUACAGAACACCGAUUGCGAAGGCAGCUUACCAAGCUACUUCUGACGUUGAGGCACGAAAGCGUGGGGAGCAAACAGGAUUAGAUACCCGGGUAGUC
rnacentral:rRNA from 1 species